AUGAAACAAAACGCACCGUUUCAUGUUACCAUUUCCUGUUACUUUGUUAUUUCAAUUAUAGUAAAUAAGGUAUUAACAAUAAAGGUGCUGAAUAAAAAAAAUCUGGAUCAAGCUAUGUUGUGGUGUUGGACCGAAUGGUCCCUUUCUUGGGCCCCUUGGUGGAAUUUUCGAGUUUGCACAUCCUUACUAAGUCUAUUUACUAUUUUUUUUAAUUAA